UACAGAGGGUGCAAGCGUUAAUCGGAAUUACUGGGCGUAAAGCGCACGUAGGCGGUUUUUUAAGUCAGAUGUGAAAGCCCCGGGCUCAACCUGGGAAUUGCAUUUGAAACUGGGAAACUAGAGUGUGUGAGAGGGGGGUAGAAUUCCAAGUGUAGCGGUGAAAUGCGUAGAGAUUUGGAGGAAUACCAGUGGCGAAGGCGGCCCCCUGGCCCGAUAUUGACGCUGAGGUGCGAAAGCAUGGGGAGCAAACAGG
rnacentral:rRNA from 1 species